rnacentral:rRNA from 1 species
CACGGAGGGUGCGAGCGUUGUCCGGAAUCACUGGGCGUAAAGGGCGCGUAGGCGGCUUGGGAAGUCCGUGGUGAAAGCUCGUGGCUCAACUGCGAGUCGGCCAUGGAUACUCCUAAGCUCGAGUCGACUAGAGGCAGAUGGAAUUCCGGGUGUAGCGGUGGAAUGCGCAGAUAUCAGGAGGAACACCGGUGGCGAAGGCGGGUCUCUGGGCCGAUAUCGACGCUGAGGAGCGAAAGCGUGGGGAGCGAACAGG